rnacentral:misc_RNA from 1 species
AAGACUAUAGACCUGCGGAGUACCUGCGGAGGGAUCAUUACCGAGUGCGGGCCCUCUGGGUCCAACCUCCCACCCGUGUUUAUUGUACCUUGUUGCUUCGGCGGGCCCGCCAUUCUGGCCGCCGGGGGGCUUGCCCCCGGGCCCGCGCCCGCCGAAGACACCCUCGAACUCUGUCUGAAGAUUGUAGUCUGAGUGGAAUUAUAAAUUAUUAAAACUUUUAGCAAUGGAUCUCUAGAUCGG